CGGGACGUAGUUCAGAGGUCAACACCCGCUUUGGGAGCGGGGAGUCGGAGGUUCGAAUCCUCCCGUCCCGA
rnacentral:tRNA from 1 species